rnacentral:rRNA from 1 species
UUAGCAUAUCAAUAAGCGGAGGAAAAGAAACCAACAGGGAUUGCCUUAGUAACGGCGAGUGAAGCGGCAAUAGCUCAAAUUUGAAAGCUGGCCCCUUCGGGGUCCGCGUUGUAAUUUGUAGAGGAUGAUUCGGCGAGGGCUCCCGUCUAAGUCCCUUGGAACAGGGCGUCAUAGAGGGUGAGAAUCCCGUAUGUGAUGGGCUGCCUUAGCCAUGUGAAUCUCCUUCGACGAGUCGAGUUGUUUGGGAAUGCAGCUCUAAAUGGGAGGUAAAUUUCUUCUAAAGCUAAAUACCGGCCAGAGACCGAUAGCGCACAAGUAGAGUGAUCGAAAGAUGAAAAGCACUUUGGAAAGAGAGUUAAAAAGUACGUGAAAUUGUUGAAAGGGAAGCGCUUGCAGCCAGACUUGUCCGCAGUUGCUCAGCUUGUCUCCUGACAGGCGUACUCUUCUGCGGCCAGGCCAGCAUCAGUUCGGGCGGUCGGAUAAAGACCUAGGGAAUGUAGCUCCUCUCGGGGAGUGUUAUAGCCCUGGGUGCAAUGCGGCCAGCCUGGACUGAGGAUCUCGCUUCGGCUAGGAUGCUGGCGUAAUGGCUGUAAGCGGCCCGUCUUGAAACACGGACCAAGGAGUCUAACAUCUAUGCGAGUGUUUGGGUGUCAAACCCAUGCGCGUAAUGAAAGUGAACGGAGGUGGGAACCCUCACGGGUGCACCAUCGACCGAUCCUGAUGUCUUCGGAUGGAUUUGAGUAAGAGCAUAGCUGUUGGGACCCGAAAGAUGGUGAACUAUGCCUGAAUAGGGUGAAGCCAGAGGAAACUCUGGUGGAGGCUCGCAGCGGUUCUGACGUGCAAAUCGAUCGUCAAAUUUGGGUAUAGGGGCGAAAGACUAAUCGAACCAUCUAGUAGCUGGUUCCUGCCGAAGU